rnacentral:lncRNA from 1 species
GCAAAAUCUAAAAGGUAAUAGAUAUAUGUUGCUAAGUGAACUGAAAGUCUAAGUUUGGAUUUGCAGAGCUAACAAAACAAAAAAGAAUUGAACUCUAUAUAUCAAAGAAAGUUGCUGCAGUUUAGUCACUAAUGAACCCUAUUUUCAACAACUGUAUCUUGAAUCUGCCAACAGGAGUCUUGGAAGAAAAGUUAACAUGGAUGGCGAUCACCCACAUAGCAUUCCUCUUUAUUAAAAUUACUCAUGGAUGCUUGGUCUCAAACAAGACAUGAAAUUGGUGAUUUCUCCUCUAUCUACUGAUUUGCACAGAGAUGCCCUUUGAGAUCCACAAAUGUUUAAUUGAUAUGCUACCAUUAAGUCUUCCAAAAUAAUGAUUUCAAAUCUGAAUUCUCAUCUUGAAGUGUGUCAGAGGAAAGUUGCAUUGCCCCACCCUUUGCUUGCUUACAGGCCACACGUUCAUUACUAAAUAACUCACACUACCCUACCCACUUACCUGCACCUGAAAUUUGAGCAUGUCCAUCCCAGAAUAUGUCUACAAAUUAUUGGGGCUUCUUGCAGGAUAAGUGC